rnacentral:rRNA from 1 species
AAAGAAACUAACAAGGAUUCCCCUAGUAACGGCGAGUGAAGCGGGAACAGCUCAAAUUUUAAAUCUGGCUGCUUCGCAGUCCGAGUUGUAAUUUGAAGGCGUCUGUCGCAUGUGAGACGAUGGCACAAGUCCUCUGGAACGUGGCAUCGUAGAGGGUGAGAAUCCCGUCUCUGGUCGUUGUCUUGCAGGCACACGGCAGGCGAUCCGAAGAGUCGAGUUGUUUGGGAUUGCAGCUCCAAAUGGGUGGUAAACUCCAUCUAAGGCUAAAUAUUGGCGAGAGACCGAUAGCGAACAAGUACCGUGAGGGAAAGAUGAAAAGAACUUUGAAAAGAGAGUAAAACAGUACGUGAAAUUGUUGAAAGGGAAACGCUUGAAGUCAGUCGUGCCGGCGGGGAUUCAGCGAACUUCGCGGAGUGAGCGUAUUUCCUCGCAUGGCAGGUCAGCGUCAGUUUUGCGCGUCGUGAAAGGGCUCGGGUAAGGUGACUCUCUUCGGGGAGUGUUAUAGGCCUGAGCAGAUGCGAUGCGCGGGACUGAGGAUUGCAGCGGACACCCUUCGGGGCGCGGCGACCGAUCCCUGCUCUGUCACCUUCGUCCGAUAGCGUGCUAACGGUCGGGGGAGCGGCGGUUGCACCGGGUUGGCAAGCCGGCGGCUUCGCUANNNAUGCUGGCGUAAUGGCUUUAAACGACCCGUCUUG